rnacentral:tRNA from 2 species
CUGGGUGUAGCUCAGUCUGCGCAGAGUACCUGACUUGGACUCAGGGGGCCGGGGGUUCGAAUCCCUCCACCCAGACCA